ACGGGGAAGAGACUUUCAGGUACGAGCAUUGAGGCUUUUCUAUUCAUCAUCCUUAUCAUAUCAUUCUUCAUGUAUUUAUCUGGUGGUUUUCUAGCUCUCAUGUUAUUUGGGUAUAUUAUUGCUCUGUUUUCUUUGUCAUUUUCUUUGGGCGUUCACUGCAAAGAUAAAUCUGGAUACGGUUCGAGUUAUGUCAUCGGCCAUGGAGCCCAUUUAUUUCGGCAUGAAACGGGUUCCCAUAUAUUGAGUAUUUUGUUUGUUUAUUUAUCGUUUGAAAGUGUUCCGUUUGAGGUCGUUCAUCUCUGUUUUUGGUACCUCAAUCCUUGUCUUCGUUUUGGUCUGCCUUUUCGAGUCACAACAACUAGUUAGUUUUAUUGUCUACCUGCCCAACCAUGCUGAGCUUUCACCACUCCUAGAUACCAUGCAAGCCAUGAAAUCUGUAAAAAGUUGGAAAUUAUUACCUUCAAUGAUCUGGAGCAUUUCCAUUCUUUUAGCCAAGCUUCUUUCCACUCAGCACACUGUUAAGUGUUUUAAAUGGGCCCAAUCUUAGUUUCAAUAUCCGGUGUUUGGUCAAUAUACAACAUAGUUUGCUGGACCAUUGCAGUUACAGCCUGUUUAAGCUGGUCACGUCGUUUCCAUAAAAGAGCAAUCUGGUCGUUGAGGGUCUUCCACGCUCUGGCCUCGAAGCAUAGUUGAAGGAUGUCAAUGACGUUAUUUUUGGUUCCGGAUACGUCUCCGGUGAGUCUAAUCUGCUUCUCUACAUUCAACGGCGCCUCUGUUUCCGCUUUUAAAUUAUGUUGAGCCUCCAUUUUUGAUUCAGAGAGAGGACAUUAGAAAUCGAGUUAAUUUGUUGUUGAAUAAAUGGUAAAGACGAAAUCAUAAGAGAGAGAGUUUAGAGAGUGAAUACCUCCAUCAAGCUCGCCUGGGACUAGAAGUCCAGACUGUUGGCGCUGUGACCCACCCGGCACCGCGCCUGACUCCCCACGUGCAUGGCUCGCCGACUCCAUCAUCCCCGUGGUCGAUCUCCUCACCACCGUCGGCGGCGACGACAGCAGCUAUGAGGACGAUCCUCUCGCCGUGGAGGGUUGUGACAUCGAGUCCUAGUCCGCACAAGCCACCCUCCAAGGCGCAUGCAAUGACCAUCAUUGCCUCAUUUCCUAACUCCCAGCACUAAGAGUUUUAUUUUUCUUUGUUUAAUUUAUUUUAGUCAUCGACCUUUCCUUUGUUUCACGUUCUCAAAUGACCCCUAUAAAAUCCCUUAAAAUUUCAAAGUCCUAGAUUUAC
rnacentral:lncRNA from 1 species